rnacentral:rRNA from 1 species
AGGACGACGCUGGCGGCGUGCCUAAUACAUGCAAGUCGAGCGGGGAUUAUGCUUGAUCGCUUCGGUGAGACGGCAUAUAUCCUAGCGGCGGACGGGUGAGUAACGCGUGGGUAAUCUACCUCGUAGUUCGGGAUAACAGGCCGAAAGGCUUGCUAAUACCGGAUGAGUUCAUGCUUAUGCAUAUAGGCAUGAAGAAAGGGCUAGCCUGCUAUGAGAUGAGCCCGCGUCCCAUUAGCUUGUUGGUGGGGUAAUGGCCUACCAAGGCAACGAUGGGUAGCCGGCCUGAGAGGGUGUACGGCCACACUGGGACUGAGACACGGCCCAGACUCCUACGGGGGGCAGCAGUAGGGAAUUUUCGGCAAUGGGCGAAAGCCUGACCGAGCGACGCCGCGUGAGGGACGAAGGCCUUCGGGUUGUAAACCUCUGUCUGGGGGGAUGAGAACGGACGGUACCCCCGGAGGAAGCCCCGGCUAACUACGUG